rnacentral:rRNA from 1 species
GUUCGAUCAUGGCUCAGAUUGAACGCUGGCGGGAUGCUUUACACAUGCAAGUCGAACGGCGCAGCACGGACUUCGGUCUGGUGGCGAGUGGCGAACGGGUGAGUAAUGUAUCGGAACGUGCCCAGUAGCGGGGAUAACUACGCGAAAGCGUAGCUAAUACUGCAUACGCCCUUCGGGAAAGCGGGGACCUUCGGGCCUCGCACUAGGAGCGGCCGAUAUCGGAUUAGCUAGUUGCGGGGUAACCGGCCUCACCAAGGCGACGAUCCGUAGCUAGUUUGAGAGGACGACCAGCCACACUGGGACUGAGACACGGCCCAGACUCCUACGGGAGGCGCAGCAGUGGGGAAUUUUGGACAAUGGGGGAAAACUCCUGAUCCGGUGCCAUCCUGCAGUGAAGAAGGCCUCGCUGUAAAAGCACUUUUUGGCAGGAAGAAACGGCACGGAUAAGACUCCGCGCAACUGACGGUACCUGCAGAAUAAGCACCGGCUAACUACGUGCCAGCAGCCGCGGUAAUACGUAGGGUGCAGCGUUAAUCGAAUUAUCAGCGUAAGGCAUGGUUCGGAAAGAAAGAUGUGAAAUCCCAGAGCUUAACUUUGGAACUGCAUUUAACUACCGAGCUAGAGUGUCAGAGGGAGGUGGAAUUCCGCGUGUGCAAGUGAAUGCGCGCAGAUAUGCGAGAACACUCGAUGGCGAAGGCAGCCUCCUGGGAUAACACUGACGCUCAUGCACGAAAGGUGGGGAGCAAACAGGAUUAGACAAUUCCUGGUGGUCCACGCCCUAAACGAUGUCAACUAGUCAGUUGGGGCUUCGGCCUGGUAGCGCAGAAGCAACGCGGUGGGCUGACCGCCUGGGGAGUACGGUCGCAAGAUUAAAACUCAAAGGAAUUGACGGGGACCCGCACAAGCGGUGGAUGAUGUGGAUUAAUUCGAUGCAACGCGAAAACCUUACCUACCCUUGACAUGUCUGGAAUCCCGAAGAGAUUUGGGAGUGCUCGUCAGUAAGAGAACCGGGAAAUUUGCGUGCUGCAUGGCUGUCGUCAGCUCGUGUCGUGAGAUGCUGGUUAAGUCCCGCAACGAGCGGCAACCUCCUUGUCAUUAGUUGCUACGAAAGGGCACUCUAUCGAGACUGCCGGUGACAAACCGGAGGAAGGUGGGGAUGACGUCAAGUCCUCAUGGCCCUUAUGGGUAGGGCUUCACAUCGUCAUACAAUGGUCGGGACAGAGGGUCGCCAACCCGCGAGGGGGAGCCAAUCCCAGAAACCCGGGAUCGUAGUCCGGAUCGCAGUCUGCAACUCGACUGCGUGAAGUCGGAAUCGCUAGUAAUCGCGGAUCAGCAUGUCGCGGUGAAUACGUUCCCGGGUCUUGCACACACCGCCCGGUCACACCAUGCGGGAGUGGGUUUUACCAGAAGUAGUUGGGCCGAACCGUAUGAGGGCGAUUACCACGGUAGGAUUCAUGACUCAGUGAAGUCGUAACAAGGUAG